rnacentral:lncRNA from 1 species
CCCGCACCGGCGGCUCCGCUUGUGCUGCGUGUGCAGGAACCCCCGCUGUACCAUGGUCGAGUCUGAAGCUCAGUUGCUGAUAACUGCAGUGCAUUUCCAUGAAGUGAUGAGCUGAAAACUGGCAAGAACUGUUUGAUGGGAUAUGUAAAAUCCUGGUGAGUUUUAGCCCACACACAGACACGUUAAUUGUUACAAGUCUUUGCAUACCUGUCAGAAGGCUGGUUUCCUGCCAGGCAGCAGUUCUUGUGAUAACUAAAUUUUAUCCUCUCCAAGAUGAUACAAGAGCAUGAAGGCAACACACAUUGCCAAAAGUACUGGAAACAGGAAAAGGCUUUGGACAACACUGAGAUGCCUCUGUGCUGCUGGCCAGAAAGUUCCCUUGUGGGGCCAGGUGGGUUUCCAGACAACAGACUGUCCUGGGCCACACACCAAAACUGUCAUCUUGUGCUUUGAAAAACAGCCUGAAGAAAAUGCCUUCCCGAAGUUGUGUCAGUCCCAGCUGGGACUGUGGGUUUCCUCCCCAGCCCCACGUUGUCACUGCCAGACUCAGGCAGAGCUGCUGGCCUAAAAUCACUCAGAAAAGGUUGGUGAGCUGGUUGUAAAAAU